rnacentral:lncRNA from 1 species
GAGCCCCCUAGCAUGUGGGGCACUUACCUUGGGGAUUUAAGGCCAGUGAACUGGAGCGUGAUUAGCUGACUUAGGGAGCUCCAGGUUUGCCUUACCUCUUUUCUUAUAUAAAGUCUACCUUAUAUUCUUUAGGUGACUCUUGGGAAGGGAUGUGUGCAUGCAUGUGUGUGUGUGUGUCUGUGCAAGGGGUGGAGCCAAAAUGGCUGGGAGACAAACUGUUCAGUAGUGCAAAGCUCAGAAACUAGUUGCUGGGGCGACCCUUGAGUUGAGGAUUCUGUGGUGGACAUGCUGUGAAGAGGUUGUGCAGAGUCUGGCAUUGGGGAGCAGCCCCGAUGUCCCAGGAGGUAGGGCUCUUGUAGCCGUGAAACUCGAUGAGAUGCUUGGCCCUGCUCAAGGACUGCUUCGGCAUGGGCCACGGCCUCCAGGAUUUCGGAGAUAUCCAGGGAGCCCAGGAUUCCCAUGGGCUCUCUGUUGCCUGCUGGGCACACGAGGCUGUUCACAAUCUGGCCUAACCUGCUCCCCCAGCCUCAAUUCCUGCUUUUCCUUUCUGUCACCGACUCAGCUACACUGCUCUAUACUCAUAUUUUAGUGAAUCAGCAAAUAUCUAUUGAGAAACCAUUGUGCUGGGUUCAGGAUUAAGACAGUGAAAGAACACAGAUGUGCGUCCCUGCCUUCAUGAUGCCAGUAGUCUGGUGGGGAAGGCAGACGGUACACAGUUGCUUCUCAGAUACCAAAUGUCUAUGUUGCCUUUGCCUCUGCCUGGAGUAUCCUUUCCUGUGCUCCACCCUGUCAAGCAUACUCAACCACCAGGCUUGGAGUCUUACCAUCCUCUUUAGGAAACCCUUCUGACUCCUUUCCCUGUAAAAGGUAGGGCUGGCCUCUGCCUCCGCUUGGUCCGAUAGCAUUCUGGGUGCCUCCCCACUGCUGCCUCUAUAAUGUCAUAUUACGAUGAUUUGUCUGUCUCCCCCCAUCCCUAAUCUGCUGUCUAUUUUUAGGUAGGCACUUAGUACAUUAUUGCAUAUAAUUCUCAAAACAACCCAGUAAGGUUAGUCAUCCUACCUCAUUUUAUAGAUGAAGGCAACUGAAGUUCAGAGGGGUUAAAUGACUUUAAAAUGACUUCCCAUCAUGACGCAGCCAGGAUAUGGAAGAGCCAAGGUUAGAACCCAGAUGCGUCUGACUUUUCCAAGGCUCUAACAACUACGUGCUACAGCCUUUAAAAAUAAUCCUCCUGUGUGAGUGGAGUAGCAGUGUGAUCUGCUGUGCUCACGCCCCAUGCCCAGGAUCUUCUGAAAAAUCGGCAAUGAUUCAUGAAUUCUUUAUGAUAAUUCUCUUGUUAUAUACUGACUUUAGUAUUUGUACUUCCAGUGUGAGUGCAAAUAGUAAAACCGAUCAAAGGGUGAAGGGAAAGACUUAAAGUGUCUUUGGGAGCAGUUUCUUUCCCUGUCUAGGCAUUGAGCUCAGCUUUCAAAAGAUUCUGCUGAAUUUGAAUCCCCAACCAGGAAAGAAGAAGCACAAAGUCUGGGGCCAGUUUAUGAGUUUCUGGCACCUGGAGCAGGCAGUGCUCUCCCAGUUGUCAGGAUGGGGCUCCAGCCCAGCAGAGGAGCCUCUUCUGCUGACACAUGGUGAAAAUUAACUUCCACUUCAUUUGCUGAAUACCCAAGUUCAUAAAUUUGGGUAGUGAACACUGGGUAGGAGGGUGGAAUGAAUAAAUGAGUGAAUGAACCUAUGAAUUGGAGUUCCCUGCUUGAGGCCCCCUUCCAGCCUGUUCUCUUGGCCCAGGAUAGCCUGCGUCGUGCUAGGCUGGGCUUUCGUUUGAGGACUGAAGGCAUUUGGAUGCACCGACUGGGAUCUGUCCGUAUCCCGUCCAGGGUGGGCUCCCAGAGGGUCGAUGAGUGGAUGGCGAAGGAAGGCCUCUUAGAUCCAAACGUCAAGUCGAUUUUUGUCACCUGCGGAGACUCGACUUAAAAGUCAUGCUCCAAUGUCCAGGCCCACAGAGCAGCGGAUUCAGGGAGUCCCUGCAUCUUGGGGGCCAGCAGGUAAGAUGAGGGCUGGGAGCCCUGCCUUCUGCCUCUGGAGCUGGGAGUGGAUAAGCCGAGGACCUGCCCAGUACUGCUGUUGCCUUCUGGCCUUUGCCAGGACGGGUCUUCCUGUGGUGGGGCUACAUGUUAUUGCCCUGAAAGGAGGGAGUUAAAAGGGGGUCUUUAAUUUCUUUUUAAACCAAAAACAUAGCAUUUACUGUUCUAAACGCUCUAGAAAUAGUAACUCAUUUACUAACCCUAGAUCCUCUUGUUAUUCCUAUUUUAUAGAUGAGGAAAUUAAGGCCCAGAAGGUUAAGUAACUUGCCCAAGAACACACAACGCCAGGAUUCAAACCUGGGCACCCUGGUUCCAGGGCUCAUUCUCUUAACCCUUCUACUAGGCUGGGCUCUCAUCUGGUAUAUGAGGCCUGAUGACCCCAUGGAGAGCCUAGUGGUGGGGAUGAGAGAGGGCUGCUUCUAGGAAGCUGCCCAAGUCCCCAGCCUCUUCUUUCCUCCUUUGUCUUCACUGCUUGUUCUCCUUUGUCUCCUGAUCCUGCCCUGGUUGUAGAAGACAGAACUGGUUCCUUCUUGGGGCUGAUGCUCCUGCCUCUUGUCUGUCCUCAUGGAUACCUGGCUUCAGGCAGCCCCUGGGGAAGGAAAGCGGAAUGGAGGUGGUGGGGGCACUGUUUGCUGAGGAUUGAUAGAAUUGAUACUUCUGUGUUCUUUGUGACUGAAGGCGGCAGCAAGCAUUGUGUGUGUGUGUGUGUGUGUGUGUGUGUGAGCUUUUGAGCAUAGGGUGGGGUACUGGUGGGGGUAGGGAGUCGUGGCUCUGGAGUGACAUCUCCUACCAAUUCAGGCGUUGUUUUCUCACCAAGGUCCUUUUUAUGUGCCUUUUGGAAGCUGGGCGAAGUUCUGUACCCAGGUGGCUGUCCAGCCUGCUGUUGGACCCCACCCUCGAGGUGAGGUGGGAGGAAGAGCAAGGCCGAGUCCCGUGACCACCCGCUCGCCUCGUCUCCCCGGUCUCUAAAGUUGUGCGCGCCUGCUGGCUGCUGGCUGCACACCAUACAGCCCCAAAGCUUCUGGAUAACGUUCACUGUCAGGGAGAUUGUAGGGGCUGGGCCUGGAGGCAGAGUUGAAUGCAGGGUGGGGGGAUGGUCCUGUGGAGAAGAUGAGGAGGGGGAGGAAGGCUGGUGCUCUCCUUGAGGGUAUCCUGGGCAGCUUUGAGCGCUUGAAGUGGGGAAGGAACUUGGUGUGGAGCUCCAGCACAGGAGGAGCCAUCUGCGGUGGGGCGGGGUUCAGGCUGACACCCAGAGUGCUGGUGUUUGGGCUCUGGUGGCCCAGGCCAGAGGCCCAGUUUCUCCAAUUUGCCUUCAGAGACCCCUCUUCUCCCAGUGCUGUUUUCUCUUUGGCGUGUUCAUGGCCCAGGCCUGAUUUCACCACCUUCUGUGAGAGCUGUGAACAGUGUGAUGCGUGUGGGCAGAGGAAAGCUUCCCUGUGCGUGACGUUGGGGCCUCUCUGGCUGGGCCUCCUGAGCUUGGUGUGGGUUUCUCCAGGAGAAGGAGAGGAAUUUCAGAGGCUGCUGUCUUCUUUGGGUCUGGCCCUGCAGCACCAGUUCAGGCCUGGGCAGAUCCGGGUGACUCAGGAGGCUGCUUUGCAUCUUUGUGGGCACUGAUGUAGUCAAGAAGAGGCUUAGGGUUGGGGAAUCAAAGAACAUGUAAAAGGAAAUCGUUUUAAUGAGCAUGGACCAUAGCUCACCCAGUCCUCCUGACUACCUUCUUGGGUAGGAGGUGGUAUCUCCCUUUGGUAGAUGAAACAACCAAAACAAAGCAAAAUUAAACACUGACGCUCCAAUUGGUAGGCUCAGAGCUAGGCAGAAGUGAAUUCUCAAGGCCACACAGCUUCCAAAAGAGGUGGUUCAGGCAGACUGGUGGCCAAUUUGGGUCUGGGUCAGGAAGGCCAGUGAAGCUCUGAAAACCAGUGUGCAGGGAGGAGGCAGGAGGCAGGUGGCAGGGUUGGGGGAGGAGAGUUUAUGGCUGCUUCUUAGGAGCAGGACUCUGCCUAACUGCUGGGAAGGCUCUUAAUUAAAUUGUAACAAAGUAAAGCAGCCAGAGAGGAAUCUAAGCUGUGCUGCGUGACAGCGCACAGCUUCUCCGUGGUCCUGGAGCCUCUCAUCGGAUGGCUCUCGUCAGAACCAUCACCUUCCCAGGCGCUCAGCAAAGCCUGCGGAUGAGCCUGACAAGGGUGGUGGGGAAUUGACACCCACUCCUUGUUAGGAUGUGGCUUGCUUCCUAUUUUGACAUCCAUUUCAGAUUUAACUUAACAUCGGGCAUUCAGCAAAUAUUUUCGUUUCCCACCCUUGUUUCUCAGAGCCAUGGUUGCUUCCUGUUGCCGCCCCCCCAUCCCCACCCCCAGCCAGUUUCAUGUCACCUUUGUUGGAAAAAGUCUGAUUUAGUGAGGCUCUGAGAAACAGGGACUGAAGUGGCAGCGGAGAUCCCACUGGAAAAAAGAAAUCUGCUUCCAUCCUGACAGAAUCAUUUUGUGUCCGUCUUUUGUCAGCCUGGAUGGGCUGAGAUGCAGCUUUACAUGGGCUUUGAUGCUGUUGUCACAGAUCCGGCCAAGGUGGGUUUUAAUUUUGUGGAUGCAGAUUUGAUUCUCCUUCGAAACUUGUUUAAGAAAUGAUACUUUGGGAAUUCCUGUUGUGGUGCCGUGGAAACGAAUCCAACUAGGGACCAUGGUGUUGUGGUUUCCAUCCCUGGCUUCGCUCCGUGGGUUAAGGAUCUGGCAUUGCCCUGAGCUAUGGGGUAGGUUGCAGAUGUGUUUGGAUCUGGCAUUGCUGUAGCUGUGACAUAGGCUGGCAGCUGAAGCUCCAAUUGGACCUGUAGCCCAGGAACCUCCAUAUGCCAUGGGUGCGGCCCU